AGAGUUUGAUCAUGGCUCAGGACGAACGCUGGCGGCGUGCUUAACACAUGCAAGUCGAACGGUAAGGCCCUUCGGGGUACACGAGUGGCGAACGGGUGAGUAACACGUGGGUAAUCUGCCCUGCACAUCGGGAUAAGCCUGGGAAACUGGGUCUAAUACCGAAUAGGACCACAGGACACAUGUCCUGUGGUGGAAAGCUUUUGCGGUGUGGGAUGGGCCCGCGGCCUAUCAGCUUGUUGGUGGGGUAAUGGCCUACCAAGGCGACGACGGGUAGCCGGCCUGAGAGGGUGACCGGCCACACUGGGACUGAGAUACGGCCCAGACUCCUACGGGAGGCAGCAGUGGGGAAUAUUGCACAAUGGGCGCAAGCCUGAUGCAGCGACGCCGCGUGAGGGAUGACGGCCUUCGGGUUGUAAACCUCUUUCAAUAGGGACGAAGCGCAAGUGACGGUACCUAUAGAAGAAGCACCGGCCAACUACGUGCCAGCAGCCGCGGUAAUACGUAGGGUCCGAGCGUUGUCCGGAAUUACUGGGCGUAAGGAGCUCGUAGGUGGUUUGUCGCGUUGUUCGUGAAAACUCACAGCUUAACUGUGGGCGUGCGGGCGAUACGGGCAGACUAGAGUACUGCAGGGGAGACUGGAAUUCCUGGUGUAGCGGUGGAAUGCGCAGAUAUCAGGAGGAACACCGGUGGCGAAGGCGGGUCUCUGGGCAGUAACUGACGCUGAGGAGCGAAAGCGUGGGGAGCGAACAGGAUUAGAUACCCUGGUAGUCC
rnacentral:rRNA from 1 species